GCCGCCUCCCAAGAUGGCGACGGUCGCCGAGCUGAAAGCGGCCCUGAAGGAGGCGCUGGCUCGGAGCGGGGCGCUGGGGCAGGUUCGGGCCCGCGUCCGGGCAGAGGUCUUCGCCACGCUGGACGACCCGGGCGAGCCGCGCCCCGCCGCCUCCCGCGAGACCCUCCUGCUGAACGAGCUCAUCCGCGAGUACCUGCAGUUCCACCGGUACAACUCGAGCGCCUCCGUCUUCCUGGCCGAGUCCGGCCAGCCUGAAAUCCCCUUGGACCGAGAUUUCCUCGCCAAGGAGCUGCACGUCGUUGAAGACCCAAGCAGCAGAUCCGUGUAAGAAGGCGACCGGCUCUCCCGAGGUUUUUCUCCGUUGGUCAGACAUUGGCUGCCUCCUAGUCCAGCUCCCAAAUCAUUUGCAAGCGGGCAGUGGUCAUUUUUGCAACCCUUUUUCCAGUUGCAGGCCCCUUUUGUAUGGAAUUCUGACUCAGCUGUUGCGAGGCAAUGAAGAGAAGGGCCCCCCCGCAUCCCCUGGAGGCCCCUCAGUGGCCCUUUCAAAGUGGACUACCAGCAAGCCAUCUCAUUGAAGUCAUUAAAUGGGUACAGCACCCUCGAACCGACGGAUGUGUGUAUAUAUUAAUAAUAGUUUAUUACAAAUGCGCUGCCUGACUCUCAGUGACUUUGGGCAGCUCACAAGUUACAGGGAAAUCAAUGAACGGUGGAGUCAGCCAGGGAUCUUCCUCACCAAAGACCUGGGUUAAGAGCCAAGUUGUCAAGGCUCUUUUAAACAACGCUUGUCUGCGUCACCACAUUGCAACCUGUGCUUGGAUACUAAGGCCUUAAUGGCUUUAUCUUAACUUUCAGAAACUGUUGCAGAUUCGGAACAUGGUGAGACUUUUGAAGAUAUGUGCGGUUCACAAGGCAUCCAUGAAUAAAGUAUAACUGCAUUUUUUAUGAG